ACGGUAUACUACUUUAGGGUAGAUGAGAGUGGGGCACGGGUCCCUUACGCGUAUAGCACCUACCUUGAACAGGGGGAUAGACCGGAUAAAUCUCUGAUUAAUACCCCUUAGUCUUACCAAGAAGGCAUCCGAAGGUAAUUAAAGAUUUAUCGGAUACUAGAGUGGUCAUGCGUGACAUUACCUAAUUGGGACGGUAACGGACUACCAAGCACUAUGAUGUCUUAGGGGUUCUGAGAAGAUGAUCCCCCACACUGGUACUGAGAAUACUUGACCAAACUCCUACAGGAGGAAGCAGUCAGGAAUAUUGAACGAUGGGCGACAGCCUGAACCAACCAUGCCUCGUGCAGGAAGACAGUCUUCUGGCCUGAAAACUGCUUUUCUACUGAAAUAAAACACCCUUGCGAGGGAGAUUGACGGUACCUAAUGAAUAACCACCCUCUAACUCCGUGCUAGCACCCGCGGUAAUACUGAGGGCGCAAGCGUUGUCCGGAUUUAUUGCCUCUAAAGGGCGCUUAAGACUGCCUUUCAUUCAAUGGUGAAAGCCUGCCGCUUAACUGUAUAACUGCCAUUGAUACUGAAAGCCUCGAGUGUACUACAGGUACGCAGAAUUUAUGGUGUACCGAUGAUGUGCCUAAAUACCAUAAAGAACACCGAUAGCGUAGACUGCUUACUCUAGUACAACUGACCCUGAAGCACGAGAGCUUGGUGAGCGAACAGGAUUAUAUACCCUGCUAAUCCAUGCCGUAAACGAUUAUUACUGGAUGUUACCGAUACACUGUCAGCGUCCAAACAAAAUCACUAAGUAAUCCACCUG
rnacentral:rRNA from 1 species